CGUCGGUGGUUGGGUCGGUCGCCGACCGCGUGGGCCCAUGAUGGCCGGAGACCGUCAGCCCGGCGUACCCCGCGAGCCUCGGGCAAGUGCGCGGCGCGUCUGCCAGCGGCAGGAGCGCGUGGAUCGGCCGCCUUGACGAGACGUGUGUGUGGAAGUGCCGUCAGAUGCGACCACUAACGACGAUGCGUAACGGACGCAGUCGCCGAGCCCGCGGCCUUCGCGGCCGGGCCUGAGCGCGCGGGCAUGGAGAGUGCACCCCGCCCGUAGGUCGCUAAGGAUAAGUGGAUCUCUCCACCAUGAGACAAACUUGACAGCACCGUAGACCCUUGAAGGUUUGGGGUGCAGGAGAAUGGCCAGCCGUGCAGUUGAAUGGCAACAGCUCAGAUAAGAGGCUACUUUUCCCAGAGGAUAGUCACCUGUGUCACAGGGAAGAAUGAACUCUCAAGGACCAGUUUUCACUAUCAAGUUCAAGUUGAAGGGAUUAAUUGUUUCUGCCAACAAUAGAACCAUGAAAGUCUUGCCAAGGAAGGCAUGUUGGUGUCCUCUUCCUCAACAGAUGCUUUAUAUUUUCUGAGGGAAAUUUCUGUACUUAAGCAGUUGGUAGACUUAUCAAUAAAGAAUUGUUUCCAUUA